ACGAUAUGUGGCUUUCACGUCAGUCUCAAAUAACACCAGAAAAAGUCGCUAGAUUUGUUGCUAGUCGCUUUUUUGAAAAUGUGUCGCUAGAUGGGUCUGAAUACUCGCUAAAUAUAGCUACAAAGUCGCUAAAUUGGCAACACUGCUGUGACAGUAGGAGUGAAGUUUAUUGAAAAAGUGGACUCUUGCCCUUUGGCUGAUCCAUUUGUGGUUGCGCGGUGUGUGAAAAAAAGAGUUGGGUCAUGUGGAAUCAGUGAGGGUAGAGGGAGAAUGCGCUCGGAGUAAAACGAAUGGUGGCAAGAAAAGUUCAUUGUUUUGUUCUCAAGAAAAGGGCACCAAUGAAAGGAGUGAUAAACUGGGGUAGCAUUAAAUAUAACAGUUGACCAGCUGAGGGAUAAGAUUUCCAGUGUAUCUGAUGUUAGUCGUUUGAUGCGGAAAGAGUGGGAGAUAACAGAAGAUACAUUGUGUCUGUUCUUUCGAGUUUUGAUGUUGAGUCUGUUAGGAUAUGAGUUAGGAUAUGUUAUCCUGUAUGUGCCGAAUACAUUACGAUGUUACGGGUGUCAAGCUUAUGGGCAUGUGGCAGCAGUGUGUAGGAGGGAGGGUUCAAGGUGUGAGAAAUGUUCAGAAGGGCAUGAGACAAAGGAAUGUGUACUAUUGGGGAAUGUGUUAAUUGUAGGGGUGCCCAUGGAGCUGGGGAUCAGAAAUGUCCCGAGCGAGAGAUGCAGGUUGAGGUUUCCAGGUUAGAGUAGAGCCAUACCAGUACAGACAGAGUAAGAUUGGAUUUUUAGCAUUUAGAAAAAUGGUUACCAAUUGUACUGCAGGGAUGGAUCGGAAGUCACAUAAAAUUGAGUUUGUGGUGGCAGCUGCAGAGAGGUAUUUGGGUGUGCGACACUUGACAUCAGAAGAGUUACAAGAUGUGUUAGGUGGCGAUGUCCCAUUCUUUCAGGAUAAUGGCAUGAGGUAGGAAUACAUACAUUUAAUUAGUGGAGUAGGGUAGUGUUCAUUUUUAUUUUAUAUUUUGAAAUUAGUGAGUAGUGUUAGAUGGUAGGGUAUUUAUUUAGUCAUUUUUAUUUUUCAAGCAAAGAAUAAGGGUGUUGUAUUACAGUCUAGUAGGUGGCGGUAAUGCAACAAAUUGGAUGCAAACCGCCGUUAAACCUCAGAAGAAGAAGAAAUUGUGCCUUUGCACACGUUCUGAACGUCUGUGUAGUAACAGGUACGUUUCAUGUGUCUGAAAGUACCACAUUGUAGCACAUUGAGUUUGACUUCCGGCCUGUUGCGAUGAAUCGCUUUCCCAGGAAUCUCCAAAUACUAUGUUGAAUGAGCACCGCGGAUGAAAGAGGGGGAGGAAAACAGAAAGCUUCUUUCUACCACACCUUCACCAAGUCACAUACAAUGUUUGCUUCAUGAACAAUUGUUACAUCAGAAAUAAAUACAAAAUAAUUUUAGUUUA